rnacentral:lncRNA from 1 species
GUUUAAACCUUUAAUUUAAGACUGUUCCCUCAACUGCUCACAAAGUUUCAUGUUAUAUUAUGGUAUCCAGUUGAAUUGCAAACUGUGAGUUCAUUUUUGAUGCAAUGUCACAUAUGAGAACAUGUAAUCUUGGGGUCAGUGAAGAUUUUAGGAAAUUAUGGUUUAUGUUUCUAAACCCAAAUAUCUGGUUUUCUGUAGAAAUCAAGCAAUCAACUGAAAUGUUCCCAUAAACCUCUCUCCUGACAUUUACCAGUAAAUCUCCUUUCCCAGAAGCAAUUCUUCCUACCUAAAAACCAAAAGUGCUCCAUGCAAAAAAUGAUCUUACAAUUUAAUUAAUGUUACAAAACGCAGCCACCACAAAAUGUGAGUCUCUCCCCGACUACACAUAAACCAAUUAGACAUAAAAAAGUAAACUGGGUAGUUUGUACUACCACCAGUUAAGAUGGUGAAGUGCUUACAGAUCAACUUAACAUAACAUUCAGGGAUAUAAUUUCUUAUUAGUGGGGUAAUAGCUGCUUGAUCCAAGAAGACACCUGACUGCUAUUUUGGGGUCAAGAAGGAAUUUUUUCCUAGUUUGUGGCAAAAUUGGAAGUGCUUCAGACUAGGUUUUUUGCCUUCUUUUGGAUGAACAGCAAAAACAUAUGUGAGGAAGGCUGAACUUGAUGGACGCAAGUCUCUUUUCAGCUAUGUAACUAUGUAACUUACCCUUGUAACUUAAGGGAUAAUUAUACAGCAAUAUACUAAAUGGAAAAUAAAACUAUAUAGUGUAGUAUAUUAAGUACUCAAGUGUAUGAAUAAAUAUAUAUACCAUACACUCACAUAUAUUAGAGCCAAACAAGGACAUGCUCAAAUCUCAUCCAUUUUUGAGAUUUGAGCCGGUCCAUGUUUGGCUCUAAUCUAUGUGAGCGUAUGGAAUUCUACCUACUUGUCUGUUUAUGCUACAGUAUAAUGCUUGAUGCAUGGUGAUACCGGACCACGCUGCAACAAGUUUACUGGUGUGCAACAUGCUCAGUAGUUACUCACGUCUUCAGGAUUGGUAGCUGUACUGUGGCCGACACUGAUUAUGUCACAGGAAGCCUAUGAUUGCCACAAUAGCACCAAUGAGAUUGUCUUCCAAUCACUGAUCUAAAGUUUAGGAGUGCAUUGGAUGGGAAUCCGGUAUGUAGGGUACUCUACUGUAAGAUCAAUGUUUGAAACAUAUUCAGAACAUCCCGUUUCUGCGUGUUCAAACCAACAAAUUGAUAUAGAAAAAAGUAAUUAGAGCUACAAAUAGAACAUGCAUUCCUUAAUAGUGAUAACACUGAGAAGAACUAAACGUAUAUAAAACACAUCUUCAUGGAACAGCUCCUCCAUAGAUAUCUGCAAGGGUGCAGCAGUGACGUGGGCUUGUGGCAUUUGAAGAAUUAUAAGUUGCAGAAGAAAGUGGGGGUGUCAUAAUAUGGAAGGACCGCUGAAAGUGGCAGACCUGCUUUCUUAUGGAUACUUAUAAUAGUUUGACGAAAUCCUCUUUUUUUUAAAUGUUAUUUUAAGUAGUCUUGCAAGAUUUGUAUAUUUUUAUGCGUGCACUGCUCUCUCCAUGCAACGUCCAUUUUCACCAAAUUUAACAUAAUUUUUAUAAUUUCAUAAAAAUUUAAAAUAGAAUGUUCGGUUGAAUAUUGCUGCAGACUGUCUUUAGUAAUAUGUUAUUUUGCAAUAUCUUGCUAGAAGCCGAGGUGUGCAGUAUGAAAUAAAUACAUUUAAUUGCAUCUUGUUAUGGCACUUAUUAUAUUUUACAACCUGUAAAAUGUUUAACCCACGCGCAGGUGUUCUUUUGACCUCGUUUUGUCUUUUAAAGGGCAACUUUUAAACAUGUAGUAUGUGAGAAGUUUGCACAGCAAUUCAAGAGAAUAACUGUAGACCUAAUGUAUGCAGAGGAUCAAAGUGUAUAAGCUGUUAUUUAUUCUCCUGAUUUAUUUCUAAAAUUAGUAGUUAAACUUCAAACACCUUUGUAUACAGAAUGUUGUACAUUUAGGGUGAAUGAAUAGUUACGUUUCUUUUUUUCCCCAAAAAUAAAAACGUUGGAC